UACGGAGGGGGCAAGCGUUGUUCGGAAUUAUUGGGCGUAAAGGGCGCGUAGGCGGCUAGAUGUGUCAAAGGUGAAAUCCCUCGGCUCAACUGAGGAACUGCCUUUGAAACUGCCUGGCUUGAGGCCGGGAGAGGGUAGCGGAAUUCCCAGUGUAGCGGUGAAAUGCGUAGAUAUUGGGAGGAACACCAGUGGCGAAGGCGGCUACCUGGACCGGUUCUGACGCUGAGGCGCGAAAGCGUGGGUAGCAAACAGG
rnacentral:rRNA from 1 species